rnacentral:lncRNA from 1 species
GAGUGUUUACGUGCAGCGCAUAUUGGACGGCGCCGGCCCCGGGCCCCGCAGCGGCUGAGCCCUGUUUCCGCAGGCGCCGGCUCCGGCCCCUCCUCCCGCCGCGGGACGGGGAGCUCGGCGGCCCUGCGCCCGGGCCAGCUUGGCAGCCUCGGCCUCGCUCUCGAGGAUUUGGCAUUUCGCAAGCGGUCCUCGAUGGUUUCAUUCAAUCCGUGAUGUUUAACGGCCCAGGCCGAAAGGCGGGACGGUGUAGAGGGAGAUCUCGCUCAUUUUGUUUGUUUUUUGGUGACUUUCAAAUUUAAAAACAAACAAAAGCCACACUUAGCUGUCCCUUCCCCCCGAAGUGUACCACAAUGCACUAUUCCCCCUCCCAACGUUGGAUCAAGAGCAUUUAAAAACAGAAAGAAAAAAAAGAAAGAAAUUUGCCGCUUUAACAACUUUAUUAUUAACUACUGGGAAUUCAUCCAAGGGUUGCAUUACCACCGAGCUGCAUCCCAGUCUUUUUUAUUCUUUGAGAUGGGUCUUGCUAAAUUGCUGAGGCUGGCCUCCAACUUGGAAUCUUCCUGCCUCAGUCUCCCCAGUCACUGGUAUUACAGGUGUGCCCCACCACAUCUGUCAAAACUUUUACUGUACCUAAUCCCAUUAUCCAUUUGUCCGUCCUUAUUUUUUGAUGCAUUUUUUCAAGUAAGUCAUUGCAUUUUUGUUUUUAAAAACCAUCUCUUGUACUUAUGAUGAUUAUGAUAUAUUGAGUGCUUUUUAAGUGCCCCAUAUUACGCUGAGCAUACUGCAUGCAGACUUUAACACAUGGACUCUUCGAAAUACAAUGCUGUAAAUACACUUAUUUUACAAAUAAGAAGGCACAGGAGUUUGAAGAGAGGAGUUUGAUCACUUGGCAGAUUUAGGCAGUCCCAUGUGUAGAUAACUCUCAAUAGCU